AAAACAUCGCCUCUUGAACAAAAAUAAGAGGUCCAGCCUGCCCAGUGACUAAUGUUCAACGGCCGCGGUAUCCUAACCGUGCGAAGGUAGCGUAAUCACUUGUUCUUUAAAUGAGGACUAGUAUGAAUGGCACCACGAGGGUUAUACUGUCUCCUCUUUCUAAUCAGUGAAACUAAUCCCCCCGUGAAGAAGCGGGGAUUAAACUAUAAGACGAGAAGACCCUAUGGAGCUUUAAAUUUACCCUCAAACGCCAAAAUCAUACAGCAAGUUUUAAACUUCACCACACGAACUUUCGCGCCAUGAGGGCAACUUUUAGGUUGGGGUGACCAUGGAGUAUAAAAUAACCUCCAUACUGAACAGGCCUCCAAGCCUCGAACCAAGAGCCACGACCCGCCGCACUAAAAUAUUAACAUCCAUUGAUCCAAUGUAUUUUGAUCAACGAACCAAGUUACCCUAGGGAUAACAGCGCAAUCUACUUCAAGAGUUCCUAUCGACAAGUGGGUUUACGACCUCGAUGUUGGAUCAGGGUGUCCCAGUGGUGCAGCCGCUACUAAUGGUUCG
rnacentral:rRNA from 1 species